ensembl:lncRNA
UUGGGAUGAAACUGAAAUCAAAAAAGGAGAGAAGGCAGAAAAACAACAACUCCCACAUAGCCAGCGCUUGCAAAACAACAAACAAGUGACAUUUAGCAUGACGGCUUUAUUGAAAAUCUUUCUUUCAAAGAUCUCUGUUCUCUAAACACGUGCACAGUGUUGUAUAUCAUAAAUCCUGGUUACUGUGGAGACUGUAAAGCCUGAUCGCGUUCAACACAUCAGUCCCGUUAUGUGGGGUUGUGACCAGUGGAAGAAAUCUGACAGCAAACUAUAAAUCAAAAGCUACUUCACAGGUACCUGCAUGCAGCUGUCUGCCGUUCAGCCCUUGAACAUCAAGCAAACCCAAGUCUACUUAUUUAGGAGCCAAAGGAACAGCUGGUUCCAGACGCUGCAAGGGUUAAAGCGACUGUUGCCCGCAGUGGACUUCUUUUUAUUCCUCCCUCAGUGAUUCUCCAAAACAAGCAGCAUCAAAGCGCUACCUUUUAAUUGCAUCGCUUUCAAGGCUGCAAACCCCAAAAUGUUGCUGCUGGUGAUUGGAUGUGUGAAGCCUUGAUGUCCAUGGCAGCUUCUCUCUACAUCGUGGCAUUAUCAAGAUGAGAAGUGUACGACGCCAUGAACCGCCUAUUGGAAUGGAAUAACAAGGGAGACAGACCUGCAACCCCAUCAACCACGUUAUAUUAAAAAAGAAUGCGUGAACACCGUGCACUCGGUACUAUUUAUAUUGCCUUUGAUCGCCCCCCCCACCCCACCCACACACAGACUCACGCUUAUUUAAUAGAAAACUUCUGGAGUGGAUUUGCUGUGUGAGAGGAAACCGUUUAAUGAAAAAGAACAACAGCGCCCCCCCCCCCCCUCCC